GCAUCGGGGGCGGAGAAGGGAGAGGAGGUUGCGACGAAGCUUCUCGGAGAGCUGGAUCGGGUGUACGGCGUCGUCAUCGUCGUCGGAGGGGAGGGGGCAUCGGCUUCGAGCUUGGGGGCGAGCCGGCGAGGAGAACGGAGAAGAAAGGAGGGCUAGGGCUAGGGAAUGUUCUGGAGAAACCGAGAAGAAAGAAAUUAAAGAAAUUAAAAAUGGGUUAACGGGUUGGGUUCGGUUAAUGGGUUGAG
rnacentral:lncRNA from 1 species